GUGUCAGCCGCCGCGGUAAGACGAACUGUCCUAACGUUGUUCGGAAUCACUGGGCUUAAAGGGCGCGUAGGCGGUCCGACAAGUCAGGGGUGAAAUCUUGCAGCUCAACUGUAAAAGUGCCUUUGAUACUGUCGGUCUUGAGGGAGGUAGGGGUGUGCGGAACUUCCAGUGGAGCGGUGAAAUGCGUUGAUAUUGGAAGGAACGCCGGAGGCGAAAGCGGCGCACUGGACCUCUUCUGACGCUGAGGCGCGAAAGCUAGGGGAGCAAACGGGAUUAGAUACCCCGGUAGUCCUAGCCCUAAACGAUGGGUACUAGAUUGUAGACUUUCAUGGGUUUACAGUCGAAGCAAAAGUGUUAAGUACCCCGCCUGGGGAGUAUGGUCGCAAGGCUGAA
rnacentral:rRNA from 1 species